UAGGCUUUGUGUUGUCAUUUACGUAUCAACAUUCGUAGAGUGAGCAACCUACUCCUGCAGAGAUCGCAUACGCAGCUAACUGGAUGCGUCCCUUUACAAACCACCGAAACCAGAAACGUGUGAAAAUAGAAGCUCUCAAUACCGGAAGGGACCCUUUUUUGUAACUUGCCAAAACUACACCUGAAACAUCCUACAGGAUAAAUGCAUCGAGGCCGAGCAGCCUGGUCUAAAAGAAAGUAAGAGGGGAUGGGGUGCAGGUUUCUUGCUGAAAAUCCGAGGAUGUCAACGCCAGUUGACGUGGUUGAAUACAUAAAUCGCGUUCUUGCCCGGUUUCACUUGGAGAUAACAGGUAAGGGAACAGGUUCUGGUAGGUGAGCGUACACGCUGCCGGGCGUUACAUAGCGAAGACAGAGAUGAUCGUUUGAUAACGCACAGCCUGGUCUUACGUCUCGAAGAACGAUUGUAGUAGCCUCAGUUGAUGUCCGUAAUUUCCGGCAGACGUUGGUGCAUCGUUACGAACAAAAAGAAACAAGGGGAACUUGUAUCUGUUCGAAAACAGUCGAACGAAUGCUGCAGGACAAAUUAAUUCAUAAGGAGUACAAGUUCAAUUGAAAACUUCCGAUCUUGCUAACAGAACAAGUUAUUUCUAAUGAACACUUGGAAUGAAUAAUUACACUGUCGGCAUUAGAUUUCAAUACUCGUCUUGGAAUUUCAAUUUUUAUUUUAUUUCAAAUUUUAUUGUAAUUAGAAAAAUUAAACCUGAAAAGGGAUAGAAUUCAAUUUAAUUUCUAAUUAGAGCCCAUCAAAAAUCAGCGUAUUAUCAAAACCCUAUAAAUUGCCUGGAGGACUCCCAACAAGGUAACACGAUCUCAUCAAUAAAAAUUAAUUAGGAAUCGAAUAAAUGAAAAACAAGGGCGUUACAUCGAUAUCGAAGGAAUAUCAGCACGGUGGUCAAAGAAUCAAGUCGAUGCAAUCCUGUUGGUUCCUAAACCACUCGCCGGAUACUCGUUCCCGUCAGGACGUGGCCCAUUUUUCAAAAUCGUAAUUGCAUUUUUUUAUUCCGCUCGCGGCCUCCCAGUCCCCUGGUGGUUGCUCGUCCUGUUCUUUCUGGCGAUGCGUGGCUGCUGUUGCUGCCACUUCUGCGGACCUCGAUGGCCCGGGAGGCAGGCAUCCAUAUUCAUGCGGAAUAAGGUGCAAUUAAACUCUGCGAGGUGUCAGCUACGAGGAGGGCAUUAAUCACCCAACAAAGCCACAUUUGACGCACUAACCGCCGCGGAUACCAUUACACACGAACCACAUAAUAAGCUUGCAUUACGACGGAAUGAUAAUUUCACCGGCAGGAUUGUAACAAGCUGCUUCGUCGCUUGAUUCACUUCCUUCUCUUCCCUUUGUGCUCGUUCGCCUCCUCUUUUUUGGCAGGAUUUCAGAGAGAUACGUUUGCAAGUAUGUAGCAAGAAAUUCUUGACAACAGUUGGGUAAGAAGUUUCGUGGUGAGAGUCGAAGAACAAAGGGGAAAGUGGGUGAAGAAAAUGAAACGGAGGGUGAGACUUAAUUGAGACCGAUAAAGUUGUCACUUUAAUUAGAGUUCAGAAUUUACAGUAAUUUUGAAUCGAAUAUAUAGACAGAAUAAAAAUUGGGAUCAUCCGACUUUCCAUUCUGUUUAAAAUAAGCACCGAUUAAUCAAUUAGAAGCAUCAAUAACCCGCAAUCUUUUUUACAGCCACAUUUAUCUUAAAUCCUCUGGAAUUAUGUCUACAAGGAGAGGAAAGUAAUCGCUUGAAAUUACGAAGACACCAACGGUCCUGUUCGUCCCAGUUUUUUUCACGCGUUCCAUGAAAAUUUCAUAAGGUAAUUCAGCUUCGGAAUGGCUCGGAUCGAAGGUAAAGCAGGAGUACGCACGGUGAAUUUUUUUUUAUUUUUUCAACAAGCCAACGGUAACACGCGUACAACGUAAAAAUACUCGAAAACGCCUUGAACAAAUUAUACCGCAGGUGGGCCAACCUUGGCUGGGAGGAAAGUAAUGUCUACAUUUACACGCGAGCAUGCAAAUUGCCGGUGAAUUUAUUACUUAUAAAUGUGAGAUUAUUCCCCGGUGAUUCAUCUUUAUUAUAAGGCGUCCGCGCACCGGGAUAGCGGCUUAAUUCGUUUUGCGGUGUUAUUUUUCGCGUGAGAUUGAUAAUCGGUUCACGGAUCCAGAAGCGUGUCGAUCGGGCUCGAUGGUUUACCGAAACGAAAAUCGGCGACGAUUUACAUCGAGAACCGGCGAACGAUUAACCAUCGGCGAAACGAGCGGCCGCCUAAUCCGGAGCCUUCAAAUCAGCCGAUGAUUUAGAGGAGAGUCGCAAUUAAUCUCGGCGUUAUCGUUCGCUGAGAUCGAAAUUGCUCCUGCAGUCUCGAAUGAUCAAUUCGGGUGGACCUCGACGUUGCUGCUGUUCCUUCGUUCGAAUGAUGUGAUCAUUUUUCGGAACAAAGACAUCUUUCAUUUUCGCCUUUGCAUUAGUCAUUUAUUCUGAGUUUUUUAGGCAGACAAAAUUUUAUUUACACCGCCAACAGACAACAUAAUAUAAAACCAACCUUGAAAGACAACUUGAAAUCUGCUACAAUAUUUGUGAAACAUAAAAAUAUACAACAAACUGUAAAUCUACCUUACCUAAAUAAUAGGAAAAAAAAUAAAUUUUAUUUAAAAAGUUCUUUAGAAUCUUCAACGAUGCCGCGUGAAGACGAUUUCGAAAGGUGGUUCACUCGUUUGCGCCCCUUCUCACCCCGUCUAUCCUCUAAUCUGAAGAAGGCGAAGGAAGAAAGUGCAAAUCACGAUCCGUCUGGCAUCGGUGAAGCUAGUGAAACGCGUGAAAGCGGUACAGGACGUGAAACGCCGAAAUGACGUUCCGCGUGGUCUUCGAUCGAGCUGGGAGGAGUGACUGUUGAAGAAAUUCAUCUUGCUCAUCGAAGGGGAUCGUCGCACCGUUCAAAGAACCAUCUCCUCUCCGUGCAUGGAGAAAUAUUGAACGUCACGAUCUGGUCGUUUGGUGAUUCCGAAGCUUUUGCUACUUUCGGCAAGUAAUGGACGAAAUUAGCAUGAACAAGGAGGUGAGUGGUUCUGUCUUUCAAGGUCGUACGAUGGUAAGGGAGAUUAGGGCUGGGUGCCUGUAGGGGUAGAUUUACUAAUUUUUAACCCUUUGAGGGACGGGAUAUUUCUAAGCUUGCACAGAGUAUUGUUAAUUUAAAAUAAAAUACAUGAUCUCCCCUGAAAUGAAUCGAAAAUUUUGAAAGAAUGAAUUUAUAAUUUAAGAUUUUACAAUUUUUCCAGCAUUCGCAGAGCAAACAUCGACUGCAUAUAGUUUUAAAGAAAGUGUUACGUAAAUUUUCUUCAACAGUGCCUGGCAGCAAUCGUUCGAAGAAGGAACUGGUGGAAUGGGUACGAGGAAGGAAGCAAGCAUCUCCUCGCUCGUAAACAACGAAUCCUUUUCAGAAGGGAUAAGACCGAGCCCACGCCAAGUGGCGCAUCUGCCGGCUCGUUAUCUAAUGGCGGCUCAUGCCGGCAGAUAAUUGAGCUCUCUGCCACCUGAGGCGAGGCUCGAAUAGAUGCGGCCUUAUUAGGAGCGAUGCUGCGUUGUCCGCGGUAGCCAAGCCUCGAAUCGUUGUUAUGUAUCGAUUCUUGAUUAAAACCCACCCUCGGGCUGCCACCUCAUUACGCCUUCGAAACGAACAACCUUUCAACCUCCCUUCGAACCUUCCCUAAUACGACGUUAGGUGUGAAAUGCAAAAUCUUAAAGAACUUUUGAAAAAAAAAUAUUUCCAAGCUGAUAUUAUUUGUGUAAUUCGAAAUAGCUGUAACCAAAGGACGGUGAAUUUAUCGAUCCCUGGAUCUUAUCGAUGACCGCUUGUUAAGCAAACUUCCAACGUGACUGAUGCAAUUGGAUAAGCAAAUUGUUCCCAGGUCAGCGUGUAACCUUAUCUACGAUACAAUUACGAUAUCAGUGUGCCUGUUCACCGUGACUGCAUCCAAUGAUAGAAACUAUCCCAUGUCUCUUGAGUUACGGGGUUGUAAUUCUACUUCGGAGGAGGCUGAACGCAUAGAAAGCGACAGCUGCAAUAAAUAUACGCGUCUCCAUUGAAUUGCAUCGAGAAGGAAACGUUGGCUCACGGCCAGUCUUGCACCUUCGUACUAACAGAUUUAACCCUUAUGAAAUCCAAAACGUAUAUUUCAGCAGUAAAUUACAGUGUCCUCUCAGACGACAAGGUGGCGUAGCAAAAGGUAUACCCUGUUAGGAUCCACAGCGAACGUAGUUUAAUAGAUAAAGUUUGAGAUGGAACAUGGAAAAAUGGUUAUUUAGAGAUGUUUAAAAUAGAUGAAGCUUGGAACGAUUUAUAACGAAAAUUUGCAAUCUUUUUAUCGUUAUAAAUUUAAUCCUCAAAGGUGACUUUCGUCAGAUUCAGAGGUAACUCUGUUCACUUUUAUGGAAACCGUGUAUAGAGUCCCUAAGGCUGUUGAAUAAGUCAACGAAUGGAAAUGGCAGGGACACUUUACGGUUGUAAAUAAUGCAAAACGAAGAACAGGCGAAAAAUUGACGGUCUCAGUGUCGUAUUCGCCGAUUUUUCAUAGAGUAUCCCAUUUUCAAGCAAAACGACGCCUAUAAGAGGUUAUCGGAGCGUAUGGUUUCUCCACCCUCGGGGAAAUCGAGCGAGAUCGUGUCAAUAAAUCGGAUGGCGUGCGCGAUUGCAGCCAGAGAAAAGAAAUGGAGAGGAGAAAUCGAAGAACGCGAUGGCAUCCUGAGAGAUCGGCAAUGGUGGCCGGGGGACACGAUUGUAACGAUCGAGAGCAACUGGUCACGCAUUUCGAAGAUUUAGCUUCGCCUUUCAAGAAGCGUUUUACACCUUUUUUAAUCCAGUUACUGGUCGAUAGACCAUUUUAUUUCAGACCUGGAGAAAAUUUAUGGAGAGUUCAGUAGUAGAAGUCAAUAAUUUCGCAGGCAAAUCAUCUUAAUUCGUGCAAUUUGCAUAUUUUACUCUAGCUCCAGGUCUUCUCCAUAAUUCAGUUGACACGGGUCAAAAAUUAAAGACCAGAGGUACCAUUUCUGUCUCGCUUCCUCGUAAAUACGAAUCGGUAUCUAUAAGAGCAAAAACGGAGAGGACACGCUAUCUCGAUAACGAUGUCGUCCGAUUUCUUGGCUUCCUCGUACAUCGAGCCAUUAGAACGACGCAGCGCGGUUGCAGGUGAAUUUUGGCCGCGGUAAUAAUCUAAUAAAUUGGCGAGAAAGACGUAUGCUCGGCUGCUGUGCGGCCGAAUCGAAUGCCGUUCGGUUAGCGGGCCGCAUUCCCGAUUCGAUGUUUACGAGGCUGACCGGCCGAAAUUUAUGAAAAUUAUUCGCGGCUACCCCGAUUUCGCGUAUUCAUGCAGCGAUGCCCACUCCACGGCCACACGACAUCCGGCCGGACCAACGUUCCCAUUGUUCUCCCCGCGACAUGUCGAAAUUUCCAUACGCGACGGGGUUAUCCAAUAAACUCGGACAGAGGCAUUCCGGCUCGGCUUACCCGGAAGUUGCUUAUUCCCGACGAUCCUUUUGUUCCAGGAUAAGAUCCUUUGUACACGAUCCUGCUGGACCGUGUCUGUUGGCUCAGAUAUGCGCCCCUUACGAGUAGAAUUUUGGAAAUGGUCUCGAAUAAAAAUUUUUGAGUGAGUGGAGAUUUGAUAUUUUUAAUACUGGAACUAUCAAGUUUCUUAUUUUACAUUUUACAUUUGCAAUGAAAGAUUCAUUGUUCCUGAAUAAUUGCCAGCAGGUAACAUCCGAUCAAAAGUGUUGCGCCGUGCGGUUUCGUUCACUUUCUUCCUGUUUACAGAUGCAAGCGUUAACCGUUCCCAUUCGAAGAGGAGAAAUAAAAGGAAAUUCGACUGGUGCAAGUGUGUUUCCAUCGAGAUAAAUGCGAGCAUUGCGGUGACUAUCGUCUCCCUUCACUGGCCAUGUUCUUCAUAUCCCACGGGUCUCGGUGCUAUCUGCGUUUCUUCAUCCGUGACCGGAAAUAUGCUUCUUGCUAUAUAAAAAAGAAGGUGUGGAAAGUUGUGUGUUAACCACAGACUCAUUUGGCUUAUUGUAGACCAUCGAAUGUUCGUAUGAUUUCAGCUGCUUUAAUAUCCGUCCCCUUGGCCACGAUUAUCCAGACAAAAACAUUUUCGUAUCAAUGUUUCAAUGGCAAAAAAUUUAAUGUCAUAUUCGUAUUGUUUUAUUUCUUCAGACUGACGAUGCAGGGAGAAACGAAAUGUAUAGUGUUCUUAUUUGAAGACACAGGAUGGUACAUCGAUUAAAAUCAAACAUUUAAAUUUUAUUUCAUGAUAUAAAUGAACUUUUUCAGGAUAUCAUGAUCCUUGGUGGAAGGUGAUUACAGCCAUCCUCCUCUCAUGGAUUUACCACUGCCUUAAGGUGCCAUUCUUGAGACCUGGGUGCUCGUCUUCCUGGCACAGACUCUUGGUAGCAGGUGGUUCCUCUUGCAAGAUGACUGGAUAACCAAGCAUCCGGUUAAACGGCGGCACUGGAAGCGCGUAACUUAAGGUAGAUUCCACUUACCUGUUCGUUCCAGAAGCUUGUAAUUAGUCUGGAAACAUUUCGAAGGAGAAACAUUCGGAUCUUCCGUGGAGUUUUAAUAAUUGGAGAAGGUGGAACGCGCUUCGUCCACGUGGACGAGGAGCUACGUGAGCGUGGCCAGACGACAUACCUGGGAAGUACUUAAAUCUGAAGAAGCCCAAGGAAAGACGAAGUGGAAAGGAAGCGAGAGGACUCGGAGAAGACCGCGCAAUUACAGAUUACAGGAAAGAAAUGUGACAAGUGUUCGAUUAAAUACACGAAACUGCUUCUGCCGAGCAAGUGUUAUCAAUUCAAUUUCCGCGCCAAGGAUCGGUGUCUUAAUUACGAGCCACUUAAUUAAAAGAAAUUUCCUGAUCACCUGUUGAUGACCGGCUCCUUCCGUAAUCUGACUAAGAUACAAUUCUGCGGAUUCGUGAGCAGAUGGGUCGAAAUUGGAAGAGAAAUGGCCAGUUUCGUGCUAGGAGCACAGAAUGGGAUCGUCGAAAGCGAGAGAAGGUGCAGCGAAGGAAGACCCAUUGUCCGGCAGACACUCGACGGCUAAAGUGAUAAUUUGCGGGUCACGAUUAAGAUGUGGGAUUGUAAAUCGUGUCGUGGCACGUUCACGGUGCGUGACCAAUCGACCAUUAAGGUAACUUACGUAUCACGCGAGAGGUGCCGGGUUAAUUUGCGAGCCUUGCUUCUCUAAAAUUAUUUCCAAACUACUCGCCCGCUCUCACGCAUGCCACGAGCAAGUUCGAUUUCUCCCUCGCGGCUAAAAUGCAUCUUUAACGAUUUCCGGAAUUCGAACGCAACUCGUGACCCACAAACGAACAAAGAAUUUCGGGAAAUUUUUCUCCUACGAGCUGUUUAUUUCUGAAUGGAAUUGAUUCAAGAAAUUCUUGGGGAAAUGGACUAUAAAGCAGUCGCGAAGUUUCAAUCUUGACUGAAAACGAUCAUAAAUUUCUUUGAAACGAGCCGCGAUAACCUGUUGCGUUCAUACACCUGCUACGAUACACCUAUUUGCAACUUUGUAAAUAACCUCUGAAAUUCUAUAAUUUAGCUGAAGUUUACUUGAUUACUUCGGAAACUCGUUUCAGAAACGUGCAUGCUAUCCUGUACACGUUUUGCUACUUAUGGUAGAAGUAUACUUCGCUUAAGUGUUCUUCACCUUCAACAUUUUUCUUUUUACUCAAUUUCAUUGGAAAGUGUAGUUAUAUAAAAUUUCAUAUCCUUGUUUUCAGAAGAAGUUUAUCAUUAUCAACCUUCAGGCGAUGGAAGUCUUGGAUCUUUGCUAAGCCAAUCAUAUAAUUUAGUGUUUAGAUGUAAUUUGGCAUUUUUUUUUAUUUCACAGCGUUUCUUCGGAUUGGAGAUUUUAAAAGAUGAAACGAGAAGUUGACGGAGAAGAUUUCACGCGAGCACGUGCGUGACAGGAGAAACACUUGAGGCAAGUUUGCAUCAAAGUAUCGCCGUCCUCUUAGUCUGAUCGCCACGUUUUGUUGUGACAUCUGGCUUACGGCAGUGACUACAGAUUUAACAAGACAGGCUGGAGCCGAAAAUCCCGCGAGGAAGAGUUCACGCUGCGACGAACGACGCUGGUAUCCCGAAAUUGCUCGACAUGGCCGUGCGAAGACAGCUCGUGGGACAUUAUGGGCACGCAACACGGACUCUGCAAAAAAGAAAUCCUGGAUGGGUUCGAUGGGUUCUGGUCCAGGAGGCUCGUAGUUUGGGACCUCGUUUACGGCUACAACCUGCGCUGCCUUUUCCUUUUAUUCCUCUUUCUACCUCCCCGCUCUACGUGGUCGCGCGCAAACUGUCCGUAUAUUGAAAUUUUAGGGGUGAAUAUAUUUCUUGGUGAACGGUCCCGCGCCUUUUGGUACUCGCGAUGGUAAUAACGUUGUAUGUACCCAGUGGGGAUUGUGAAAAGAAUGACAUUUCGUUGAUGGUUCUGAAGAAUCAUAUUUUUAUCAAUUAAUUUCUCGGUCUAGAAAUAAUUUCGACAAAAUUCUUCAGGCAUCCCGGGCUUCGAUGUUGAACGGGGUCGAUUCAUUGACCGGCUUGAACUUUUCGCGAGCUUUUAAAGUCACGACUCGGUCCGGUGAGCACGAGUGGGCAGCAGUUGGUCCGCUGAACAAGCGGGUGGCCUGUGGACGUGACUUUAUGCGAUGUGGGACUUGCUCGGUGGUGAUAUAACGCGCAAGAGGCCGGAUACAAUAGAGUGCCAUCCUCGAGGGCACAAAGGGAACGAGCGUUUCUCCGGCCUGCUGUUCGCAAUUGAUGAUCGUGAUUCAAUUCCGAGAAGAUUGCAAUGGGACGCGUGGGGGAUCUGUUAAACGUGAUUGAUAAUUGCUGUUCGUUCGCGGACCUGAGGUAUAGUUAUUCUCGUGGACUGCUGAGACAGAUAUUCGAACUGUGAUGCGCCGAUUUGUUUCAAUAUCUCGGUAUUGAAUCCAGGAAAUGGUGCAUCACUUAAUAAAAAUUUUAUUUUGAAGUUCUGGGGCUGCAUAAAAUAAUUUAACGGAUUCAAUAAUUAUUUUUAUCUGUUUCUUCCUUCUAACACUAUAAAGGAUACUAAACUUCCAAUUCAACGCUUCUUCGUUCACCAUUGUUUGGCAAGGAAGAAUUCUCCCGAUCGGUCUUGUUCACCGUCAUCGAUGCAUGACCGCUCUAAGAUCACGGAGAUUCCUUAUUCGAGCUCGUUUAAAUCGAUUCCAGGCGUCGCCGAUCAAUUUUCAUGGACCUCGUGCUGAUACCGUGGGAGAAAUAAUCCCGGUAUUGUUACGCUCCUCUCCUAACCCUCGACCAUGAUUCCGUUCUCUCGAAUCGGUAGACUAAAGCCGAUCGUCACGGUGUGCAUUUGUGCCGUGACAAUCGCGAUUCCCAGUACCUGUGUCUCGUUCGAUACGUUUCGUGGCUUCCUUAAUUGGGACGCUUAAACGACGACCUGACUUCCGAGAAACUUAACACGAGCUACACCCGUAAAUCGCUGAUUCGACGAGGUUUAGGAGACCUCCGUUAAUGGGACCGGAUGUUAUCUUCCCUGAUAACAUUUGUUUGAAUCGUGUUAACGAUGGUUUUAUCUAAAAAAUUUCCAUCUGAAUAUCUUGUAACAAUCGGCAAUAUUUUUUGUUCAUGGCUCAUAAAAUAAAUUCGAUGUAAUUCUUUUAUUUUUAUUUAUUUAUAGAAUAUAUUUAUAACCGAUCAUUGAUCGCUGGA